AAUGAACGCUGGCGGCAUGCCUAACACAUGCAAGUCGAACGAGACCUUCGGGUCUAGUGGCGCACGGGUGCGUAACGCGUGGGAAUCUGCCCUUGGGUUCGGAAUAACAGUUAGAAAUGACUGCUAAUACCGGAUAAUGUCUUCGGACCAAAGAUUUAUCGCCCAGGGAUGAGCCCGCGUAGGAUUAGCUAGUUGGUGAGGUAAAGGCUCACCAAGGCGACGAUCCUUAGCUGGUCUGAGAGGAUGAUCAGCCACACUGGGACUGAGACACGGCCCAGACUCCUACGGGAGGCAGCAGUGGGGAAUAUUGGACAAUGGGCGAAAGCCUGAUCCAGCAAUGCCGCGUGAGUGAUGAAGGCCUUAGGGUUGUAAAGCUCUUUUACCCGGGAUGAUAAUGACAGUACCGGGAGAAUAAGCCCCGGCUAACUCCGUGCCAGCAGCCGCGGUAAU
rnacentral:rRNA from 1 species